CGAUCCACUGCCGCCUACCCUCUUCCAUGCUUGCGAAAUUAAUCAACAACCCUUUCACACCGUUGGUUUCCACGCCCGAACUUGGUUUCUUCUCUUCCAAUUAGAUCUUUCCUGCACACAAUCGUCGAAAACGUGGCGUCACACCGGAGUACAUUUUAGGCUAGGUUUAUUUUAUCGGACUCGCAUCGAUUAUAGAUGAAAAUUAUACAUUGGAAACUUUUAACAAGUACCG
rnacentral:misc_RNA from 1 species